rnacentral:rRNA from 1 species
GAUGAACGCUGGCGGCGUGCCUAAUACAUGCAAGUCGAGCGAACGGACGAGAAGCUUGCUUCUCUGAUGUUAGCGGCGGACGGGUGAGUAACACGUGGAUAACCUACCUAUAAGACUGGGAUAACUUCGGGAAACCGGAGCUAAUACCGGAUAAUAUUUUGAACCGCAUGGUUCAAAAGUGAAAGACGGUCUUGCUGUCACUUAUAGAUGGAUCCGCGCUGCAUUAGCUAGUUGGUAAGGUAACGGCUUACCAAGGCAACGAUGCAUAGCCGACCUGAGAGGGUGAUCGGCCACACGGGAACUGAGACACGGUCCAGACUCCUACGGGAGGCAGCAGUAGGGAAUCUUACGCAAUGGGCGAAAGCCUGACGGAGCAACGCCGCGUGAGUGAUGAAGGUCUUCGGAUCGUAAAACUCUGUUAUUAGGGAAGAACAUAUGUGUAAGUAACUGUGCACAUCUUGACGGUACCUAAUCAGAAAGCCACGGCUAACUACGUG